rnacentral:lncRNA from 1 species
AUUUCCACAUCAAUUUGCUUUACAUUACUUCGAAAAUCCCAUUCGCAUUUUCUAAUUAAUUUCAAUAAUCAAGGCAAUGUACCGAUUUAACAUUAAGUCAUUGAAUUUCAUCGCUAUGUUGGAUGGAAUUUGUCGGCUCGUGUUAAAGACGGAACACCCUUCUAAAAAACCCAAAAACUAAAGUUUCUCGUCUUUUCAAUUGAAUCACGACUAAAUGUUAUAUUGAACUCGUAUUUUUGAAAAUCAAGACAACACAUGUUUAUACGAUACCAAUUUUGGG